GUAGUCAUAUGCUUGUCUCAAAGAUUAAGCCAUGCAUGUCUAAGUAUGAGCAAUUUAUACGGUGAAACUGCGAAUGGCUCAUUAAAUCAGUUAUCGUUUAUUUGAUAGUACCUUACUACAUGGAUACCUGUGGUAAUUCUAGAGCUAAUACAUGCUAAAAACCUCGACUUCGGAAGGGGUGUAUUUAUUAGAUAAAAAACCAAUGCCCUUCGGGGCUCCUUGGUGAAUCAUAAUAACUUAACGAAUCGCAUGGCCUUGCGCCGGCGAUGGUUCAUUCAAAUUUCUGCCCUAUCAACUUUCGAUGGUAGGAUAGUGGCCUACCAUGGUGGCAACGGGUAACGGGGAAU
rnacentral:rRNA from 1 species